rnacentral:misc_RNA from 1 species
GAAAUGCGAUAAGUAAUGUGAAUUGCAGAAUUCAGUGAAUCAUCGAAUCUUUGAACGCACAUUGCACCCGCCAGUAUUCUGGCGGGCAUGCCUGUUCGAGCGUCAUUACAACCCUCAGGCCCCCGGGCCUGGCGUUGGGGAUCGGCGGAAGCCCCCUGCGGGCACAACGCCGUCCCCCAAAUACAGUGGCGGUCCCGCCGCAGCUUCCAUUGCGUAGUAGCUAACACCUCGCAACUGGAGAGCGGCGCGGCCACGCCGUAAAACACCCAACUUCUGAAUGUUGACCUCGAAUCAGGUAGGAAUACCCGCUGAACUUAAGC